CGGUGUUCAACUGGCGUGUCCGCGGGACGUCCUGCCGGUGGGCUUAGCCCGCAAGGGCGGCCCAACUUCAAAUCCCAUCGCGGUGCUCUUCACUGAGUGUCGAGGUGGGCCGGCACGUUUACUUUGAACAAAUUAGAGUGCUUAAAGCAGGCUAAAACUUCGCCUGAAUACUGUGUGCAUGGAAUAAUGGAAUAGGACCUCGGUUCUAUUUUGUUGGUUUUCGGAACCCCGAGGUAAUGAUUAAUAGGAACGGAUGGGGCAUUCGUAUUGCGACGUUAGAGGUGAAAUUCUUGGAUCGUCGCAAGACGGACAGAAGCGAAAGCAUUUGCCAAAAACGCUUUCAUUGAUCAAGAACGAAAGUUAGAGGUUCGAAGGCGAUCAGAUACCGCCCUAGUUCUAACCAUAAACGAUGCCAGCUAGCGAUCCGUCGACGUUCCUCCGAUGACUCGACGGGCAGCUUCCGGGAAACCAAAGCUUUUGGGUUCCGGGGGAAGUAUGGUUGCAAAGCUGAAACUUAAAGGAAUUGACGGAAGGGCACCACCAGGAGUGGAGCCUGCGGCUUAAUUUGACUCAACACGGGAAACCUCACCAGGCCCGGACACCGGAAGGAUUGACAGAUUGAGAGCUCUUUCUUGAUUCGGUGGGUGGUGGUGCAUGGCCGUUCUUAGUUGGUGGAGCGAUUUGUCUGGUUAAUUCCGAUAACGAACGAGACUCUAGCCUGCUAACUAGGCGUAUUUUCGACAUCUCAAAGGUCCGUCGUCCCGGCCCUCGGGUCGUGGGCGUGCGCGAUUUUUACUGUCGGCGUACUAUCAAUUCUUCUUAGAGGGACAGGUGGCUUCUAGCCGCACGAGAUUGAGCAAUAACAGGUCUGUGAUG
rnacentral:rRNA from 1 species